UCUCCGUAGGUGAACCUGCGGAGGGAUCAUUACUGAGUGAGGGCGCAAGCCCGACCUCCAACCCCAUGUAAGUCAUACCAUGUUGCCUCGGGGGCGACCCGGCCUUCGGGUGUCGGGGCCCCCGGUGGACCACCAACGCUGCAUCUGUGCGUCUGAGUGAUUAAUCAAUCAAUUAAAACUUUCAACAACGGAUCUCUUGGUUCUGGCAUCGAUGAAGAACGCAGC
rnacentral:misc_RNA from 1 species